UACGUAGGUGACGAGCGUUAUCCGGAAUUAUUGGGCGUAAAGCGCCCGCAGGCGGCUGUUCAAGUCUGACGUGAAAUCGCUCGGCUUAACUGGGCGGGGUCGUUGGAAACUGAAUAGCUUGAGGCAAGGAGAGGGGCGUGGAAUUCCCGGUGUAGUGGUGGAAUGCGUAGAGAUCAGGAGGAACACCCAUGGCGAAGGCAGCGCUCUGGUCGGCAUCUGACGCUGAGAGGCGAAAGCGUGGGGAGCGAACGGG
rnacentral:rRNA from 1 species